CGGAGGAGCUAGCGUUAUUCGGAAUUACUGGGCGUAAAGCGCACGUAGGCGGCUUUGUAAGUAAGAGGUGAAAGCCUGGAGCUCAACUCCAGAAUUGCCUUUAGACUGCAUCGCUCGAAUCAUGGAGAGGUCAGUGGAAUUCCGAGUGUAGAGGUGAAAUUCGUAGAUAUUCGGAAGAACACCAGUGGCGAAGGCGGCUGACUGGACAUGUAUUGACGCUGAGGUGCGAAAGCGUGGGAGCAAACAGGAUU
rnacentral:rRNA from 1 species